AAAAAAGAAGCCCUUCCCUGAAAAAUAAGUAAGACACUAAGUGGAAUGUGGGUCCUAGAACAGAACAAUGAUGCCUAGUGAAAACAUGAGGGAAAUCCAAGUUGCAGUCUGGACUUGAGUUCUGGUAUCAGCCCAAUGUUAAUUUCCUCGCCUUACUACAAGGAUGUGGUUUUAUGAAACAUUAACGUCGGGGGAAGCUGGGUGAGAGGGAUACGGGAACCCCCUGUCCUAGCUUUGCAACUUCUCUGUAAAUCUAAGGCAAGGGGUCAGUGCUGAUGAGAUUUGCUGACCUCACCAUGAGUCCAUCAUCUGGGAGCCGCUGACGAAGGACUGGCCCGGCCAAGCCCCAGUGGGGUGCCGACUAGGAAACACUUUGCAAAGAUGAGGGGCUAUUGUCCAAGUGAAGCUGCUGCGUGCUCCGUGCUCCAUAGCGAAACACGAACAACACAUGGUGCUUCUCUUUGUCAGUAUAAUGAGAUUGGCUGAAUCUAUUUGAGGUUGCAGAAAGGAAAGCAUUGACAGUAAGACAGUUGGAGUUUCCUUCUGGAAGUUAGGUUUUUGGUA